rnacentral:rRNA from 1 species
ACGAACGCUGGCGGCAGGCCUAACACAUGCAAGUCGAGCGCUACCUUCGGGUGGAGCGGCGGACGGGUUAGUAACGCGUGGGAACCUACCUUUUAGUACGGGACAACGUUUGGAAACGAACGCUAAUACCUUAUACGCCCUUCGGGGGAAAGAUUUAUCGGAAUUGGAUUAGCCCGCGUUAGAUUAGAUAGUUGGUGGGGUAAUGGCCUACCAAGUCUACGAUCUAUAGCUGGUUUGAGAGGAUGAUCAGCAACACUGGGACUGAGACACGGCCCAGACUCCUACGGGAGGCAGCAGUGGGGAAUCUUAG